rnacentral:lncRNA from 14 species
GUGAAGGAGAUAGAAUGGAGCUGGGCCUGGGCUGAGUCGUGUGGGACCAUGAGGGCACCCACAGGCUCAGUAGAUUGGUUUCUUAGGGAGUAUCCUGUCACCCCUGUACUCGGUCAAAGUUGGAGACCCUCCAGCUUUAUCUACUCCCUCCUGAGUCCUGGCCCUUAGCUGAGAAGCCUCCCCUUCCUUGGAGGCUUGCUUCGUCUCGCCCCUCACUCAGGGUCCUUCCUGCUUCCUCUCGCCCCUCACUCAGGGUCCUUCCUGCUUGCUGGGCCGCUGCUCCCCUCCCCUGGCUUGGGGUGUCUGGUUCUCCACUCCCCCAUCUUUCUUUUGUUUUUUCAUCUCAAGACAGGGCGUCUCUGUGUAGUCCUGCCUGGCUGUCUUAGAGAUCACUCAGUAGACCAGGCUGACCUCAAACUCAGACCCUCCUGCCUCUGCCUUCUAAGAGCUGGGAUUAAACAUAUACCACCA